rnacentral:rRNA from 1 species
ACCUUUGGGAGCCUCACAGGAUUAGAUACCCUGGUAGUCCACGCCCUAAACGAUGAUCAUUAGUUGAUGGGGAACUCAUCGACGCAGCUAACGCAUUAAAUGAUCCGCCUGAGUAGUACGUUCGCAAGAAUAAAACUUAAAGGAAUUGACGGGGAUCCGCACAAGCGGUGGAGCAUGUGGUUUAAUUUGAAGAUACGCGUAGAACCUUACCCACUCUUGACAUCUUCUGCAAAGCUAUGGAGACAUAGUGGAGGUUAACAGAAUGACAGAUGGU